rnacentral:tRNA from 1 species
ACUCUUAUAGUUAAUAAAAAUAACAUUAGAUUUCGACUCUAAAAUUACCUCAGGGUUGGGAGUA